rnacentral:rRNA from 1 species
UGGGGAAUUUUGGACAAUGGGCGAAAGCCUGAUCCAGCAAUGCCGCGUGUGUGAAGAAGGCCUUCGGGUUGUAAAGCACUUUUGUCCGGAAAGAAAUCCUUGGCUCUAAUACAGUCGGGGGAUGACGGUACCGGAAGAAUAAGCACCGGCUAACUACGUGCCAGCAGCCGCGGUAAUACGUAGGGUGCAAGCGUUAAUCGGAAUUACUGGGCGUAAAGCGUGCGCAGGCGGUUUGCUAAGACCGAUGUGAAAUCCCCGGGCUCAACCUGGGAACUGCAUUGGUGACUGGCAGGCUAGAGUAUGGCAGAGGGGGGUAGAAUUCCACGUGUAGCAGUGAAAUGCGUAGAGAUGUGGAGGAAUACCGAUGGCGAAGGCAGCCCCCUGGGCCAAUACUGACGCUCAUGCACGAAAGCGUGGGGAGCAAACAGGAUUAGAUACCCUGGUAGUCCACGCCCUAAACGAUGUCAACUAGUUGUUGGGGAUUCAUUUCCUAGUAACGUAGCUAACGCGUGAAGUUGACCGCCUGGGGAGUACGGUCGCAAGAUUAAAACUCAAAUGAAUUGACGGGGUC